rnacentral:RNase_P_RNA from 1 species
UAAGUAAAUCAGAUAGCCGCAGGCCUUUUGGGCCUGAGGAAAGUCGGAGCUCCACAGGGCAGGGUGCUGGAUAACGUCCAGUGGGGGUGACCCCAAGGCAAGUGCCACAGAAACAAACCGCCGGGAGCGGAGGUCAGAGGUCGGAAGUCGGAAGUUUUCUGGUUGACGGGUUCUGGUCUCCGUUUUCGGUAAGGGUGGAAAGGUGAGGUAAGAGCUCACCAGCAUUUAGGUGACUAAAUGGCUCGGUAAACCCCAUCCGGAGCAAGACCU